rnacentral:rRNA from 1 species
CCUACGGGAUGCAGCAGUGGGGAAUAUUGGACAAUGGGCGAAAGCCUGAUCCAGCCAUGCCGCGUGUGUGAAGAAGGCCUUCGGGUUGUAAAGCACUUUCAGUGGGGAAGAAAGCCUUGGGGCUAAUACCCUCGAGGAAGGACAUCACCCACAGAAGAAGCACCGGCUAACUCCGUGCCAGCAGCCGCGGUAAUACGGAGGGUGCGAGCGUUAAUCGGAAUUACUGGGCGUAAAGCGCGCGUAGGCGGUCUGAUAAGCCGGUUGUGAAAGCCCCGGGCUCAACCUGGGAACGGCAUCCGGAACUGUCAGGCUAGAGUGCAGGAGAGGAAGGUAGAAUUCCCGGUGUAGCGGUGAAAUGCGUAGAGAUCGGGAGGAAUACCAGUGGCGAAGGCGGCCUUCUGGACUGACACUGACGCUGAGGUGCGAAAGCGUGGGUAGCAAACAGGAUUAGAUACCCUAGUAGUC